UACGUAGGGUGCAAGCGUUAAUCGGAAUACUGGGCGUAAAGCGUGCGCAGGCGGUUAUAUAAGACAGUUGUGAAAUCCCCGGGCUCAACCUGGGAAUUGCGAUGAAGACUGCAAGGCUUGAAUCUGGCAGAGGGGGGUAGAAUUCCACGUGUAGCAGUGAAAUGCGUAGAGAUGUGGAGGAACACCGAUGGCGAAGGCAGCCCCCUGGGUCAAGAUUGACGCUCAUGCACGAAAGCGUGGGGAGCAAACAGG
rnacentral:rRNA from 1 species